ensembl:lncRNA
UUCAGCAGUGGGGCAACUGAAAUUGUGCCAAACUCAUGGGUUGAAGGAGAUAAAGUGUUCUGGCCCCCAUACCCUCCUAAGGACUCUAUUAGGCUGAAUGCAGCCAUCCUGAAUAGAGAGCAGCCUGGUCAGGGAUGGCACACAUACCAGCCUAUCCGUCUCCUCAUAACUCGUGAUAGUCAUGAUGAGGCAGCGAGGAGCAUGGACAGAUAUCUCAAUAAAGAUUGUGACACCACUGACAUCCAGUCUGAGGAGGAGAGCCACCAUGCCCUGAAAAGACAAAAAAAGACCGAAUCCAGUUUAUCACUCAGACAAGGAGCCCCAGAAUGAGCGCAGAUUCACCCAAGCCCCAAAAGUGUUAUUUCCAGGUUUAGUUAGCCACAUUGUGGCGUGUGUGUGUGUGUGUGUGUUUGUGUACAUAAAGAAAGCUUUUGCAAAAAAUAGAGAUUCUAAAUAUGCAUUACACACGUUUGCCCUUAAACACCACAAUUCCCCCACCCACAAUUUUUUUUCUUUACACAAAGCAGCGACCCAACUAGCCAGUCAGAACAGCCAACCAUCACCACCUUCACGAAUCUAUCAGACCCUCCAACGCCCCAAUUCCCCAAUGUUGUCUUACCCCAAUGUCCCAGCAUCAUUCCCUGGAGAUGAAUUGGUGUUCUCUCCAAUGAAUUUACUCCAGAGGCCAUCUCCUGAAGGUAUGCUUUUAAAAAGAAGCAAUUAAAUUCAGUCAAUUCAAACAUUCAAAUUCGAGCCAAAUGCAGUAUAUCCAGUCAAAUGGUUUAAUUUCUCUUUUCACAGUUGUUUCAGAUUCUUCAGAAACUGCCAGGUUGGCAUUAAAAGGUAAGUACAAUUAAAUCCUAGCGGCCCAGGCUUUUCUUUCCUCAAUGAUUUAAAUCAUUGAAGGAUUUACCACUUAUCAACUGUUAGCUUAAACCAAUGGAGGGAGACAUUGCUAAAAUAAACAACUGUUAAAAAGUUUGUUACCAUCAUUCAUUUUUCCAUUUGGAAUCAUUAUAACCAGCCUCAUGAAAUAAUGGUUUUACAGCAGUCCAAGAGUGGUCCCAUACUAAAAAAAUUUUGGUGAUCCCAAACAUUUGAACAUUAGUGUAUGACAAUGAUAAAAAAAAGAAACAUUACACUGACUGCUCGAAGUAAUUUUUUAGUUCAACAUCUUCUUAAAUUUGUUUGUACAAUUUUCUUUGUCAAUAGAUGUGGCUACUCAAAAACUUCUUACUGCAGUGACAGAGCUGUCCAAGGAGGUGAAGGACCUGUGGGAGGAAUUUAGGCAAUUCCACCAGUCCUGCAGGUGUGGACAAUUGGAGUCUGUGGUACAGCCACUGUCGGAGCCCU